rnacentral:rRNA from 1 species
AGCAGCCGCGGUAAUUCCAGCUCCAAUAGCGUAUAUUAAAGUUGUUGCAGUUAAAAAGCUCGUAGUUGAAUUUCGGGAUUGACGUGAUGGUCAUGCCUUAAGGGGUAUGAACUGUUACUGUUGAUUUCUCACCUUCUGGAGAAACUUGAUGUCCUUUAUUGGGUGUCUUGCGGAUCCAGGACCUUUACCUUGAAAACAUUAGUGUUUAAAGCAGGCAUUUUUUGCUCGAAUACAUAUUAGCAUGGAAUAAUAGAAUAGGACGGCAUGGUUCUAUUUUGUUGGUUUCUAGGAUCACCGUAAUGAUUAAUAGGGAUAGUUGGGGGCAUUAGUAUUCAAUUGUCAGAGGUGAAAUUUUUGGAUUUAUUGAAGACUAACUACUGCGAAAGCAUUUGCCAAGGAUGUUUUCAUUAAUCAAGAACGAAAGUUAGGGGAUCGAAGACGAUCAGACUACCGUCGUAGUACUUAACCAUAAACUAUCGACCGACGUAGGAAUCAGACGUAUAGUUUUAAAUUUUUAAUG